CCGGCGACCGGCGCACGGUGAGUAACACGUAUGCAACCUGCCCUCCGCAGGGGGAUAACCCGGAGAAAUCCGGACUAAUACCGCGUGGUACACCAGUGGGGCAUCCCACUGGUGUUAAAAGGAAGUGAUUCCGGCGGAGGAUGGGCAUGCGGCGCAUUAGCUUGUUGGCGGGGUAACGGCCCACCAAGGCAACGAUGCGUAGGGGUUCUGAGAGGAAGGUCCCCCACACUGGUACUGAGACACGGACCAGACUCCUACGGAAGGCAGCAG
rnacentral:rRNA from 1 species